CCUACGGGGGGCAGCAGUGGGGAAUAUUGCACAAUGGGCGAAAGCCUGAUGCAGCAACGCCGCGUGAAGGAAGACGGUUUUCGGAUUGUACACUUCUGUUCUUAGUGAAGAAUAAUGACGGUAACUAAGGAGCAAGCCACGGCUAACUACGUGCCAGCAGCCGCGGGAAUACGGAGGUGGCAAGCGUUGUCCGGAAUUACUGGGUGGAAAGGGAGCGUAGGCGGGUAGGCAAGUCAGCUGUGAAAACUACGGGCUUAACCUGUAGACUGUAGUUGAAACUGGCUUUCUUGAGUGAAGUAGAGGGUGGCGGAAUUCCGAGUGUAGCGGUGAAAUGCGUAGAUAUUCGGAAGAACACCGGUGGAGAAGGCGGCCGACUGGGCUUUAACUGACGCUGAGGCUCGAAAGUGUGGGGAGCAAACAGGAUUAGAUACCCCUGUAGUC
rnacentral:rRNA from 1 species